rnacentral:lncRNA from 1 species
UUCACCUCGGCUCGCCUUCCCCGCCCAUCCCUAAACUGCGGAGACAAUCCGGGGAUGGAGCCUUCAAAAGCGCCCAGGGAAGCAAAGCACUGGCUUUGGCUAAGUUUCUGGUGGUGCAAGCCGGGUGAAGACUAAGAAAAAUGACCGGCGAGCUGUGCCCCUGUUCAUGCCCCGGUGUCCUGAGAGGCGAGCGCUGGCAGCUGUGCAGGAUUGCAGCAGUUACCUGGUGCCAAAAAGCUGCGUACGUCAAGGAUAAAGAAGAAACUGUAAUGUGGAGACGUGAAGUGUAAAAAGCCACCAUUUACCUUCCUGGGAAAGAAAUCCACCUGGUUGAUUAAUUUAUAAGGUUCAUUUCAUCACCCUGCUGUACAGAAGAUGUCGUGGUCAUGGCAGACUCUGAUAAAUCAUCUCCCAUAUUUCACCUUUGUGAUCAUGUCAAGAUCCCCAGUAACUCACAGGGAGUUUUCAUUUGGUAACACUUUAAGGGGUUUCUUGCUUUUGUUUUGCUUUGGGGAGUUGGUGAGAAGGAAAGGGGGUCUCUCCCACUUGUGUAGCUCAGGUUUGUCUGGAACUGUCAUUCUCAGCCUUAGCCUCCUGAGUCCUGGAAUUCUGGGUGUGUGUCUCCAGGCCUGGCUAGCACAACUUAAGGAAGCGUUGGUGUUUAACUCUGUGGGGAGUGCCACAAUGCAUUAUCAACCACUUCAGCUCACUCACGACUCACAAUAAAUGUCUGAGCAGAAAUCUAUUCUUACUUGGCAAAGUCGAAAACUAGAGCUGAAAUUGUUUUAUGAGACUUGCUG